CAUAGUAGUGGGAUUGCUGGAUCAAAUGGUAGUUCUAUUUUUAGUUCUUUAAGAAAUCUCUAAACCGUUUUCCAUACUGGUUGUACUAAUUGACAUUCCCACCAACAGUCGUGUAAAAGUGUUCC